rnacentral:rRNA from 1 species
GCCUUUAGCCAUACAAGUAUUAAAGGUCCCGCCUGCCCAGUGAUAUAUUUUUAACGGCCGCGGUAUUCUAACCGUGCAAAGGUAGCGUAAUCACUUGUCUUCUAAAUAAAGACCAGUAUGAACGGCUAAAUGAGGGCAGACCUGUCUCCUAUAACAAAUCAGUGAAACUGAUCUACCAGUACAAAAGCUGGAAUAGACACAUAAGACGAGAAGACCCUGUGGAGCUUAAAAACAAAUGGUCAAUAAAUCAACUAGAACAACCCACAAUGACCAAGCGUUUUAAGUUGGGGCGACUUCGGAAAAAAACAAAACUUCCGAGAAAGAGGCCACUAACCCACCCCAAGGGUUACAACCCAAGGCACUAACACAUAAGACCCAGUCAAACUGAUUAACGAACCAAGUUACCCCAGGGAUAACAGCGCCAUCUUCUUCAAGAGUCCAUAUCGACAAGAAGGUUUACGACCUCGAUGUUGGAUCAGGACACCCAAAUGGUGCAGCAGCUAUUAAAGGUUCGUUUGUUCAACGAUUAACAGUCCUACGUGAUCUGAGUUCAGACCGGAGAAAUCC